rnacentral:rRNA from 1 species
GAUACUGUUUUUCUUGAAUGCAAUUGAGGUAGGCGGAAUGUGUAGUGUAGCGGUGAAAUGCUUAGAUAUUACACAGAACACCGAUUGCGAAGGCAGCUUACUAAAUUGUGAUUGACGCUGAGGCACGAAAGCGUGGGGAGCGAACAGGAUUAGAUACCCUGGUAGUCCACGCCGUAAACGAUGAUUACUCGUUGUUGGCGAUAUACAGUCAGCGACUGAGCGAAAGCAUUAAGUAAUCCACCUGGGGAGUACGUUCGCAAGAAUGAAACUCAAAGGAAUUGACGGGGGCCCGCACAAGCGGAGGAACAUGUGGUUUAAUUCGAUGAUACGCGAGGAACCUUACCUGGGCUUAAAUGUAGAAUGACAGUACUGGAAACGGUAUCUCUCUUCGGAGCAUUUUACAAGGUGCUGCAUGGUUGUCGUCAGCUCGUGCCGUGAGGUGUCGGGUUAAGUCCCAUAACGAGCGCAACCCCUAUCGUUAGUUGCUAACAGGUAAUGCUGAGGACUCUAGCGAGACUGCCGGUGUAAACCGAGAGGAAGGUGGGGAUGACGUCAAAUCAGCACGGCCCUUAUGUCCAGGGCUACACACGUGUUACAAUGGCCAGUACAAAGGGCAGCUACCUAGCGAUAGGAUGCUAAUCCCCAAAGCUGGUCUCAGUUCGGAUCGAAGUCUGCAACUCGACUUCGUGAAGGUGGAUUCGCUAGUAAUCGCACAUCAGCCAUGGUGCGGUGAAUACGUU